GUCUGCAACCUCUCAUGGCACCUCCACGAGCAUCCACCAUGAAACUAACUAGGAAGCUGAAAAAUCAGGAAAUAAAUAAUUAGAUACAAAGCAUACCAAAAUUCCUUUGGUUACGUUCCACAUACGUAACAAACGACGUAUGUAAAUAUAGUGCUUUCUCAAGAUGUACAAUUAGAAAAAGGCUUUCUCCCAUGUGAAGCACCAAAUCAUGCUAAGAUCAUUUAUUAACUAAACUGACAACUGCUAUCUAAGAGCUUUUCACUGAAAAUCUUAUUUUACAGUGCUGCUGUUGGUAAAAAUACGACCAGUCACUAAUAAAUGCAAGCACAUGUGUAUGUACCUAUUGGAGACAAAGUCAAGUGCACGUAUCACUGCUCUGUACCUGCAAGCAUCUAUACUGUAAAGUUGGCACUCUUAAAAUAUUUUACAAGCAAAUACAUUGUAUUUAAGAAAACUAUGUAUGAUUCAAGAAUGUAAAGCCAAUUCUGAUUGAAGGGGUUGUUGGGAUUUUUUAAGGUUAUCUAUAUAAUUUUCUAGUUAUUUCAUAAACUAUAAUUUUGAACAAAAUAUUGGUUUUGAUUUACAAAAAUAACGGAUUUCAUUCUGGAACGUGUGGGUACAAUUUGUAAUACAUCAGUGGAGCUAGCACCUAUUUAUAUAAAAAACCCUACGUGUCAUUACUGUUUGCAGAGCGAUUUUGGUGAGAUGACAAUAGCUACAGUCACUGCGUAACAGGUUUAUUUUUUGAUUUUUGUUUUUCUGUGUUACUUUGCUCAGCAAUACAAUGUCCCAGUGGAAAACUUACAGAUGCAGAAAGCCAUCUAUAGGGAGCCCUCUUCUAGCACAAGUUUCAGUUUACUGAACGUGCCUGGUGGGUCAGAGGAAAGUGUCAGUGAAUCCAUCACAAGUUCUAUCAGUCAUCUAUCAAUGAAGCCAACUAUUGCUCCAAAGAGUGGAAAAACGGGCAAAGAGAAGUAUUAUUGGAAGGUGGACACAAAGAUAACCAUGAUUAGGAUAAAAACCGUUAGGACAUUAUUAUUAUUCACUGUAAAAACAUCUGUUUCUAUCAUAAAGAAGAUCUGACGUGGUUACUGAAUAACAAGACAUAAUCUGGCAAUCAGGAGUGUUCUUCACAGUAUACACCAAAAACCAGAAUCAUGCCAUAUCACUGGAAGAGACCCCGAGGUGACGGGGGAGAUUGCUGAAGGGCUCUGUGACUUCUGGGUGAGUCUGAAACCACCUAAGAGACUGCAGGUACCCUUCGGGUGCUGGCCAGCAGAGUGAGGCAAACAGAACAGUGUGAGGCCAGCACAGAGAGUCAGGCCAAUUGUAACAUUAAAUGUGGAGGAGCCCGUUCACAAAAACAGCUAUGAAAUUUCUGGAAAACAAAUUUUGGAAAACUACUAUGAAUACAGUGUAAAAGAAAAAACUGAAGGGGAGAAUUCCUCGGCUCCAGAUCCAUGGCUAAAAGUCUGGAAGGACAGUACACUGAAGCAGGAUAUGUCGAGCUGACACAGAAUGCAAAAAUCAAUUAUUUUCCACGAUAUCACCAUUUAUUUCCCAACCUUUUGCUACAUUCAUUUUUUCAUCCAUUCAUUUAAUCUGAUUUAUUUUCAUCUUUUUAAAAAAAAACAUUUCACAAUUUUGGAUAUGCAAUAGAGUCAAGCAAAUAAUUCAAACCAAAGCAUUUUCUGAAUCAUAGCAGCCUCUUUGCUACAUAGUAGGGCAUCUGGAUGGUGACAUUACUGCUCCAGGACUGGAAAAGCUUCGCCCUUUCAAAGGACUGUGUCUAUCAAUAUACAAAUAAUCCAUACAAAAUUAAUGCAUGACAUAAAACAUGCUUUCUGAAAUGUGCGUUUAGGAAAGUGAAAAAAUUGUGUGACUAAUAUAAAGGAAACAUAAAAUGCAAAUUAAUUAUUUUGUUGUCCAUGCGCACACACAUUGUUUUUCCUCCCUCUGGUUUUUUUUACAGCUGUUAAGUGACAAGAUAUAAGUGACUAGGAAGAGAUUGUACUGAAAGGAACAAACAAAACUAACAGGAAUGAUUGGCAGAUUAAGCCAUCACUCUGGGAAGUAGUACCUUUUCAUUAUAAAAUAUCAAAAAGAAAAUAAUACAUAAUACUAGCAUAUGAAUGACACUAACAUCAUAUAUGCUCCCCGAAGCUUGGGGGUGCUUCUCUUACAGCAUGUGGACAGGGUUUUGCUUUACCAUCCCUGAGAGGUACCCAUUGCAUCUUUGCAUCGGACUUCCCUGCUCUGACUUUAAAACUUUGUUAAGAUCCUCCUGCAAAGGGCACUGGGCACCCUCUGCUCCUGCUGACUACAUGGUGCAAAAAGUGACUCUUGGCCAGGCUGGAAACUCAGAGUUUACUCCAUGUUCCAGCUGCAGGAAGCACUACUGCAAGCACUAUCCAACAUCUGCCUACAGAGAACAAAGAGAAGGUUCCUUAAAGGGAAUCGUAAAUAGCUGUGAAGAGUUCAAAAAAAAAAAAAAAAAAAGAUGAUAAUAAAAGGGGUUAAAGGGAAUCAGAAAGCUCUUACAGGUUAUCACUAGAAGAGGAGACAUCCUAAAAAAAUUAGGCUGAUAAAUGUUCCUUACAUGCUUCUGUGAUAAUUUGUCUAACACUAAAAGAAAAUGUGAAAGAAAACAAAAUAACUUACAGGAAGUCCAUGUAGAUAUAAUAGCUACAAUUUUCACCAGGGGUCGAAAAUGGCAAAAUAGGGGAAGGAAAACCUUAGUGGGGACUAAGUAUGGUUAGGAGAAACAAGGUAGAACUGAGGAGAGGGAAAACAAUAUAAAUAGGAGAAAAAUUUUGGACAGCUGUUAAGCAGGAAAACAUUCUUGUGAGCCAUUUAAAACAAAGGUGGCCAAAAUAAGUGAACUGACUGAUCAAGCAAUGCAUUGAAAUUACAUGUACUUCCCAUCAACAAAAGUCUAUUUCAGAAAAUGUUUUAAAUGUCCUUCCUAUAACUACAUAUAGGGGAAGCAUCCUUCUUUAGCACUGCCUUCAGUUUAUCUUGGCAACCCAUGGCAAGAACUUACAUUCAAUUGGGUGACAGUCCAAAAUCAAAGCAGAUUAUGGGUUAAAGCAGCCAAGUCAAAAUGUGUAUGUCAGGGGUGACUAAGGCAACGAGACAAUCUUUUUCAGUACUAAGACUGCCUUUGAGUAAGUUUCAUUUUCUGCCAGUUUUAAAGGUUCAGUUAGAAAUGAUGCAUGACACAAACAUGUGACCCUGACAGUUGCAAACUGGAUUGACACUGAGCUCUCCUGAUAUAUAGCAAGGUGGUAGUCCAAUAUAAUAGCCAAAUCAACGGGACAAAUCAGGUUUUGGGAAAUCGUUGCCUUCUCUCCUUUGAAGAGAAUGAAGGGGAACUCAGGAUUAUUUUAUGUAUUUUUUUU